rnacentral:lncRNA from 1 species
GCAUUCCCUCACGUUGAGAGGUACUUCUGGACCGUGAUCAACCAGCCUAACUUCAAGAAGGUGGUGGGUGAGGUCAAACAGACUGAAGCUGUCCCUCCUGUUGCUUCCAAGAAACCUGCUCAGCCUGCAAAGGCCAAGGAGGAGCCGAAGAAAAAGGCUGCCCCUGCAGCAGAGGCACCUAAGCCUGUUGAGGAGGAAGAGGCACCAAAGCCCAAAGCAAAGAACCCUCUUGACUUGCUACCACCAACCCCCAUGGUCCUCGAUGAGUGGAAGAGGCUUUACUCUAACACCAAAUCCAACUUCCGUGAGGUUGCUAUUAAAGG